AUUGAACGCUAGCGGGAUGCUUUACACAUGCAAGUCGCACGAGUGGCGGACGGGUGAGUAAUAUAUCGGAAUGUGCCCAGUCGAGGUGGCUAACUACUCGAAAGAGUGGCUAAUACCGCAUACUACUAGAGCGGCCGAUAUCGGAUUAGAUAGUUGGUGGGGUAAAGGCUCACCAAGGCAACGAUCCGUAGCUGGUUUGAGAGGCCGACCAGCCACACUGGGACUGAGACACGGCCCAGACUCCUACGGGAGGCAGCAGUGGGGAAUUUUGGGCAAUGGGGGAAACCCUGAUCCAGCCAUGCCGCGUGUAUGAGAAGGCCUUCGGGUUGUAAAGUACUUUUGGCAGAGAAGCGGUAUCUGCAGAAUAAGCACCGGCUAACUACGUGCCAGCAGCCGCGGUAAUUC
rnacentral:rRNA from 1 species